GGUUAAGUUAACAAGGGCGCAUGGUGAAUGCCUUGGCACUAGGAGCCGAUGAAGGACGGGACUAACACCGAUAUGCUUCGGGGAGCUGUACGUAAGCUAUGAUCCGGAGAUUUCCGAAUGGGGCAACCCAGCAGUUUUAAUCAACUGUUACCACUAGAUGAAUUCAUAGUCUAGUUGGAGGUAAACGCUGUGAACUGAAACAUCUCAUUAGCAGCAGGAAUAUAAAGAAAUUUCGAUUCCCUAAGUAGCGGCGAGCGAACGGGGAACAGCCCAAACCAAAGUGCUUGCACUUUGGGGUUGUAGGACUGAACAUUUGAGUUACCAAAGAACUUGAUAGUCGAAGGAUUUGGGAAAAUCCGCCAUAGAUGGUGAUAGCCCAGUAGAUUAAAUCAAAUUCUCUCAGUUCAGGAUCCUGAGUACGACGGAACACGUGAAAUUCCGUCGGAAUCCGGGAGGACCAUCUCCCAAGGCUAAAUACUACCUAGUGACCGAUAGUGAACCAGUACCGUGAGGGAAAGGUGAAAAGCACCCCGGGAGGGGAGUGAAAUAGUUCCUGAAACCAUGUGCCUACAAUAAGUCAGAGCGCGUUAAUGCGUGAUGGCGUGCCUUUUGUAGAAUGAACCGGCGAGUUAUGAUCCCGUGCAAGGUUAAGACUAAAAAGUCGGAGCCGUAGCGAAAGCGAGUCUGAAAUGGGCGUUUUGAGUACGAGGUUAUAGACCCGAAACCAGGUGACCUAUCCAUGUCCAGGUUGAAGGUGCGGUAAAACGCACUGGAGGACCGAACCCGUGUAAGUUGAAAAUUGCUGGGAUGAGGUGUGGAUAGCGGUGAAAUUCCAAACGAACUUGGAGAUAGCUGGUUCUCUCCGAAAUAGCUUUAGGGCUAGCCUCGGAAUUAGGAUCAUGGAGGUAGAGCACUAUUUGGACUAGGGGCCCGUCUUGGGUUACUGAAUUCAGAUAAACUCCGAAUGCCAUUGAUUCAUAUCCGGGAGUCAGACGAUGAGUGAUAAGAUCCACCGUCGAAAGGGGAACAGCCCAGACCAUCAGUUAAGGUCCCUAAAUGUAUGCUAAGUGGAAAAGGAUGUGGAGUUGCAUAGACAACUAGGAUGUUGGCUCAGAAGCAGCCACCAUUUAAAGAGUGCGUAAUAGCUCACUAGUCGAGUGAUCCUGCGCCGAAAAUGUACCGGGGCUAAGCAUACUACCGAAACCAUGGAUGCGACCAUUAGGUCGCGUGAUAGGAGAGCGUUCUAAGGGCGGUGAAGCAAGAUCGUGAGGACUUGUGGAGCGCUUAGAAGUGAGAAUGCCGGUAUGAGUAGCGAAAGAUAGGUGAGAAUCCUAUCCACCGAAUGACUAAGGUUUCCUGGGGAAGGCUCGUCCUCCCAGGGUUAGUCGGGACCUAAGUCGAGGCCGAGAGGCGUAGACGAUGGAUAACAGGUUGAGAUUCCUGUACUAGUUAAGUGCGUUUGAGCAAUGGAGGGACGCAGGAGGCUAAGAUGUGCAUUCUGUUGGAUUAGAAUGUCCAAGCAGUAAGUCUUGUGAAGAGUCAAAUGCUUUUCACUUUAAGGACAAGCUGUGAUGGGGAGCGAAAUUUAGUAGCGAAGCGUCUGAUGUCACACUGCCGAGAAAAGCUUCUAGUGAGUACUUAACUACCCGUACCGCAAACCGACACAGGUAGUCGAGGAGAGAAUCCUAAGGUGAGCGAGUGAACUCUCGUUAAGGAACUCGGCAAAAUGACCCCGUAACUUCGGGAGAAGGGGUGCUGAUCGCAAGAUCAGCCGCAGUGAAUAGGCCCAGGCGACUGUUUAUCAAAAACACAGGUCUCUGCAAAAUCGUAAGAUGACGUAUAGGGGCUGACGCCUGCCCGGUGCUGGAAGGUUAAAAGGAUGGGUUAGCUUCGGCGAAGCUCAGAAUUGAAGCCCCAGUAAACGGCGGCCGUAACUAUAACGGUCCUAAGGUAGCGAAAUUCCUUGUCGGGUAAGUUCCGACCCGCACGAAAGGCGUAACGAUCUGGGCACUGUCUCAACGAGAGACUCGGUGAAAUUAUAUUGUCCGUGAAGAUGCGGACUACCCGCGACAGGACGGAAAGACCCCAUGGAGCUUUACUGUAGCUUGAUAUUGAGUGUUUGUACAGCUUGUACAGGAUAGGUAGGAGCCAUAGAAACCGGAACGCUAGUUUCGGUGGAGGCGUUGGUGGGAUACUACCCUCGCUGUAUGACCACUCUAACCCGCACCACUAAUCGUGGUGGGAGACAGUGUCAGGUGGGCAGUUUGACUGGGGCGGUCGCCUCCUAAAAAGUAACGGAGGCGCCCAAAGGUUCCCUCAGAAUGGUUGGAAAUCAUUCGCAGAGUGUAAAGGCACAAGGGAGCUUGACUGCGAGACAGACAGGUCGAGCAGGGACGAAAGUCGGGCUUAGUGAUCCGGUGGUACCGUAUGGAAGGGCCAUCGCUCAACGGAUAAAAGCUACCCUGGGGAUAACAGGCUUAUCUCCCCCAAGAGUCCACAUCGACGGGGAGGUUUGGCACCUCGAUGUCGGCUCAUCGCAUCCUGGGGCUGUAGUCGGUCCCAAGGGUUGGGCUGUUCGCCCAUUAAAGCGGUACGCGAGCUGGGUUCAGAACGUCGUGAGACAGUUCGGUCCCUAUCCGUCGCGGGCGUAGGAAAUUUGAGAGGACCUGUCCUUAGUACGAGAGGACCGGGAUGGACAUACCUCUGGUGUACCAGUUGUGCCGCCAGGCGCAUCGCUGGGUAGCUACGUAUGGAUGUGAUAAACGCUGAAAGCAUCUAAGUGUGAAACACACCUCGAGAUGAGAUUUCCCAUUCCUUUAUGGAAGUAAGACCCCUGAAAGAUGAUCAGGUAGAUAGGUUAGAAGUGGCAGUGCGGUGACGCAUGAAGCGGACUAAUACUAAUCGGUCGAGGACUUAACCAA
rnacentral:rRNA from 1 species